rnacentral:rRNA from 1 species
UAAUUGCGCGUCAACUUGUGAACUGCAGGACACAUGAACAUCGACAUUUCGAACGCACAUUGCGGUCCACGGAUACAAUUCCCGGACCACGUCUGGCUGAGGGUCGUUUAACAAACAAAACCAGACUGCUCGCGCGCCAGCGCGAGCGAACUGUUGGGCGUUUCGUCGGCGAUGGCAGCCUUUUCUUUAAAACGCGCGAGAGAGCCUCGUGCGUUGAAAAGUUGUCGGCGGCCUCGCUUGGCGUCGCCCGAAACGAUGCGAAACAGCUCGAGUAUAACGUCGAUAUACGGCAACGUUCACACGGCCGGCGUCCAGUCGAAUUGGAUUUGAGAGUGUACAGAGAUAUAUGCUCUCGAUCGAACGCGUUAGCUCGUCCGAGUCCCGGAGCUCCGAUGCGCGAGAGUUAUCAUCAGCUCUCGCGCCGAGCGGACCGUACGAGCUAGAACCGCGUUCACGGACGUCGGCGCUGUUUUGAGCUUGUUGCUCCGUUGAGACGGGCAUUUAGAUUUUAUUCGACGUUUCGUUUAACGAAAGCAAUGCGCGUGAACGCUUUAUUUCGAAAUCCUAUGCGUUCAUUCGCUCUCUUUCGCAUACACUUGUAUUAUCAUAUGACGACCUCAGAGCAGGCGAGAUUACCCGCUGA